GGUGAGGUGUCCGGAGAGUGGCUGAAGAACACGCACGGGGAAAGGGUGUGUAUGCGGCAACGUAUCCGGGGUUCGAAUCCCCCCUCACCGCCA
rnacentral:tRNA from 1 species